rnacentral:rRNA from 1 species
UACGAAGGGGGCUAGCGUUGCUCGGAAUCACUGGGCGUAAAGGGUGCGUAGGCGGGUUUUUAAGUCAGAGGUGAAAUCCUGGAGCUCAACUCCAGAACUGCCUUUGAUACUGAAAGUCUUGAGUACGGGAGAGGUGAGUGGAACUGCGAGUGUAGAGGUGAAAUUCGUAGAUAUUCGCAAGAACACCAGUGGCGAAGGCGGCUCACUGGCCCAUUACUGACGCUGAGGCACGAAAGCGUGGGGAGCAAACAGG